GAGUAUUAAUUAUUCAUUAAACUUGUGUGAAGCCCACGACUUGUAUGAAGCCCACGACGCGCAACUCACACGCCUCAAAAUUUCUAUACUUUGAUUUUCAACUUCAUUUUCACUACUUUUUUGGGAAUCCUUGCUGGCAGAAAGUUCUUCCUCAGCCCACGCAAAAUUCUAUCAAAGAGUUUUCACUUCAUUCAGAUCUCAAGACAAUUUCACAAGAAAAAGGUCUCUACUUGGAUAAAUCUAUAUCGAUUUGAAGCAGAAAUGGGGCGCCACCACCACCACCACGGCCACGGCCACCACGGAGACGAUAACCCUAUUGUGGCUUGUUGUUGCUGCCCUUGCUUGGUUGUUGCGUCGCUGUUCGGAAUGAUCGGACGGUGCGUGUUUGUCGCCUGCUAUCCUUUAUUGCAGUGCUUCGGUUUCGAUGACCACCACCACCACCCCCACCACCACCACCGCCACCAUUUUUAAUGAUUUUAUUCUAUUCGAUAUUAAGGAUUGAUGAUGAUGUUACAAUAUUUGGUAUGUUAUCAUAUUUUGUUGCCUUUUUCUUUCUUGUGAUUAUGUGACAGCUGGCAUCUUCAUUGUAUUUGUACCUACCAAUACCAAUUAUAAUUGGGAAUUAUUAGCUUUUGAUAA